GAUCAUAGCUCAGGAUGAACGCUAGCGACAGGCCUAACACAUGCAAGUCGAGGGGCAGCGGAGAGGUAGCAAUACCUUUGCCGGCGACCGGCGCACGGGUGAGUAACACGUAUGCAAUCCACCUGUAACAGGGGGGAUAACCCGGAGAAAUCCGGACUAAUACCCCAUAAUAUGGGCUCUCCGCAUGGAGGGUCCAUUAAAGAGAGCAAUUUUGGUUACAGACGAGCAUGCGCUCCA
rnacentral:rRNA from 1 species